CUUGGUCACACUUGGUAAUGCAACUGUUGCCUCUAGAACACUCUGAGUCACAAUGCUCAGAGAUGAAAUCAAUCCCAUUGAUUGUAAGUUGGUAAAUGAUCCUGAGGCUCAAGCUGAGUGCCUAGUAAUUGCCACUUUAUCAAAGAUGUCUUUCAAUGGGCCUUCACAAGAAUACUAAACACUUCGCAUGUAGAAGCUUGAAGAUUACAAAAGAAAACUGUCAUUGCUUUGGAAAGAGAGUGAAUUAAUCUGUACAACAAGGAGCUACAUGAUAUAUCAGACCCUGUGUGUGAAAACCACUAGAAAUGAUAGAGCUGCUCACUGCUCUGCUUCUCUGUGCUCCUCUGAAAAGGGCCCAUGCCAGGCAUUCCCUGCACACAUGGGCUCCUCCUGCCUGCUGCGAUCCUGAAGGCAAGAGAGGAAACUUUUACAGUUAAGAAGUCUUGAUUGGUAACAUCUAUCAGUCCCUCAUGCCACCAGCUCUGUCAUUCCAGCUUCAAUCCAUGCUCCUCAAAGUAGGCCAGGAAAAGAAAAGCGAUGUAUUCCAUCUAAAUUAUUGGAAACUGGGUUUGACAGGAGGAUGACGCCUGAAGAUCUUACAUUCAGACAAGAAGAAAGAAAUUAGCAAAACCAACAAGGCUGAAAGCAGAAAAGAUAGGGGAAAGCACCUGCAUGUCAAGGGAAGGCUGACUCCUUCUCGGCUGCGACUCUGUGUUUUAUCCAAGAUCCGCAUGCCAAGCCAGGACUGUCUCUUGCUCUGUCCAAGAAUGAAGUCGGGUCUGGACUCGGCUGUGGAUCAACUAUCAUUGGGAAAAUCUUCAAGGGAAACAUGUCAGUCUUUCCGUCGGUAUGUAGCUGGUUUCUCCAACUUGACGCACUCUCUUCUGGAGGGAAGACCAGAAGACUCAGGAAGUAAAUAAAACUGAAGUCCCAGGAAGGAAGCAAACCCAACGAGAAAGCUGUAAAAACCUAGGAGAACGGCCAGGCCUCUCCCCAAAGCUAAGUGAUCAUACAGCCUGCAGCAACUGCUUGGUUCUGUGAAGGUAACAAGGUUUGAUCCAGCCGGGCCGAGACCCAGGGCAGAAGGUAUCAAGGAGCAAAAGGACCAGACCCCAGUGAAGACAAAGCAAGCAGUGUGACCCAGCCUCACAGACUGACUCCGCUGCUGUUUCCUCAAACACUGCAUCCAGGACAGCUUCAAAGCAGCCUGCUUCAGCCAGGACUUCAGUUAACCCCUUCACUUUCCUAUCCCACAGAGCCUGGACUGCAAAUAAAACACUCAGCU